UUUGUUUUUAUUACAUGGUGGGGACCUCAGCAUGUUAGCACACUCACAAAGUGGGGACCAAAAACAUAGUGGGGACCGUACGCCUGGUCCCCACUAUGUUUUGCCUUUAAAAGACUCAGGGGGCGUUGCUGAUAUGCCUAGUGCUGUUUUUUUCAUUGAUCCCCACCUUGACCAAUCACCUGAUUUGAGUGUGUGAGUGUGUGUCGGCGCACUGCUCUAUAGCGCCCCUGUAGUCGGAUGGCGGUACUGCACCCUCACACACACUUGGCGCAAUAUACACACUCUAGCUAUUGCACAUGCGCAGAUCUCCUGAAUAAAUCCGACUUUAAUUAAAUUAAUUAAGGUUCAUCAAAUUAAUCGAGGUUUGCGGGUAAGUUAGAAUGUUUUUCAUCAUCAUAAUGUAAUAAAAUCGGUUAUAUGACGAAUAUUUCUGUUGCAUACUUUUGACAGUUAUCAGGUAAAGUUACAUGUUUUAACUAAUUUCCUGGGUGUUUUAAUCGAUGUUGUUUCAAAUUACGUAUUAAUAAAACAUUGAUAAGACACAAACUACAGUUCGGUAUGUAAUUUAACUUGUUUACACGAGUAAAAGUUACUCGCGCUAAUGUGCUAACGUGCUAACUGCCCGGUGCUGCGUGAAUCAGAGGCCGGAGUGGAGUGCGUGAGCCGCGGCCGGACGGUCACCACGCCCUGGGCGGCUAAAUGGAUCGACGGAGGAUAAAAUCAUUAAAAGAUGCGGAGAAACACAUCACCAGCUCCACUGACAAGACCCAUUCACUGGAAACCGAUUAUAUAGAAGGUUACUAAGUUUUGCGGCAUUGAUGCCGCUCGUGGACGGGACCCUCGGCCGGCUGGUGAAUGAUGACUAUCUGCACCCAAACUGCACUGUCAAUAAGAUUGUUGUUCAGAGAAAAACCUCACUUGUGCCUUUUUGCAAUCAGGGACAUUUUCCCUGGAGAGGAAAUAACUUUUGACCAUGGCGCAUGUGAUUGGCCUUGGAGAAAGCUUUCAUUGAAGGAUAACCAUAUGACUGCAGAAGAGAACUGCUCCCACAACUCUCUGAUGAGCUGUUAUUGAAGGAUGACCAAAUGACAGAACUGCUCUGCUCCAGUAGGAGGCCCACAACUCUCUGAUGAGCUUUUAUUGAAGAAUGACCAAAUGAC